GAUGAACGCUGGCGGCGUGCCUAAUACAUGCAAGUCGAGCGAACGGACGAGAAGCUUGCUUCUCUGAUGUUAGCGGCGGACGGGUGAGUAACACGUGGAUAACCUACCUAUAAGACUGGGAUAACUUCGGGAAACCGGAGCUAAUACCGGAUAAUAUUUUGAACCGCAUGGUUCAAAAGUGAAAGACGGUCUUGCUGUCACUUAUAGAUGGAUCCGCGCUGCAUUAGCUAGUUGGUAAGGUAACGGCUUACCAAGGCAACGAUGCAUAGCCGACCUGAGAGGGUGAUCGGCCACACUGGAACUGAGACACGGUCCAGACUCCUACGGGAGGCAGCAGUAGGGAAUCUUCCGCAAUGGGCGAAAGCCUGACGGAGCAACGCCGCGUGAGUGAUGAAGGUCUUCGGAUCGUAAAACUCUGUUAUUAGGGAAGAACAUAUGUGUAAGUAACUGUGCACAUCUUGACGGUACCUAAUCAGAAAGCCACGGCUAACUACGUGCCAGCAGCCGCGGUAAUACGUAAGUGGCAAGCGUUAUCCGGAAUUAUUGGGCGUAAAGCGCGCGUAGGCGGUUUUUUAGUCUGAUGUGAAAGCCCACGGCUCAACCGUGGAGGGUCAUUGGAAACUGGAAAACUUGAGUGCAGAAGAGGAAAGUGGAACUCCAUGUGUAGCGGUGAAAUGCGCAGAGAUAUGGAGGAACACCAGUGGCGAAGGCGACUUUCUGGUCUGUAACUGACGCUGAUGUGCGAAAGCGUGGGGAUCAAACAGGAUUAGAUACCCUGGUAGUCCACGCCGUAAACGAUGAGUGCUAAGUGUUAGGGGGUUUCCGCCCCUUAGUGCUGCAGCUAACGCAUUAAGCACUCCGCCUGGGGAGUACGACCGCAAGGUUGAAACUCAAAGGAAUUGACGGGGACCCGCACAAGCGGUGGAGCAUGUGGUUUAAUUCGAAGCAACGCGAAGAACCUUACCAAAUCUUGACAUCCUUUGACAACUCUAGAGAUAGAGCUUUCCCCUUCGGGGGACAAAGUGACAGGUGGUGCAUGGUUGUCGUCAGCUCGUGUCGUGAGAUGUUGGGUUAAGUCCCGCAACGAGCGCAACCCUUAAGCUUAGUUGCCAUCAUUAAGUUGGGCACUCUAAGUUGACUGCCGGUGACAAACCGGAGGAAGGUGGGGAUGACGUCAAAUCAUCAUGCCCCUUAUGAUUUGGGCUACACACGUGCUACAAUGGACAAUACAAAGGGCAGCGAAACCGCGAGGUCAAGCAAAUCCCAUAAAGUUGUUCUCAGUUCGGAUUGUAGUCUGCAACUCGACUACAUGAAGCUGGAAUCGCUAGUAAUCGUAGAUCAGCAUGCUACGGUGAAUACGUUCCCGGGUCU
rnacentral:rRNA from 1 species